rnacentral:rRNA from 1 species
AACGAACGCUGGCGGCAGGCUUAACACAUGCAAGUCGAACGCAUCCUUCGGGGUGAGUGGCAGACGGGUGAGUAACGCGUGGGAACGUGCCCUUCAGUUCGGGAUAACCCAGGGAAACUUGGGCUAAUACCGGAUACGUGCGAGAGCAGAAAGAUUUAUCGCUGAAGGAUCGGCCCGCGUCUGAUUAGCUAGUUGGUGGGGUAAUGGCCCACCAAGGCGACGAUCAGUAGCUGGUCUGAGAGGAUGAUCAGCCACAUUGGGACUGAGACACGGCCCAAACUCCUACGGGAGGCAGCAGUGGGGAAUAUUGGACAAUGGGCGCAAGCCUGAUCCGGCCAUGCCGCGUGAGUGAAGAAGGCCUUAGGGUUGUAAAGCUCUUUCGUCCGGGACGAUAAUGACGGUACCUGAAGAAGAAGCCCCGGCUAACUUCGUGCCAGCAGCCGCCGUAAUAC